UAACCCAGCGUACGGAAGCCGCAAAGGUAACAUUAUCUCCUUUGAAAAAGAAUGCGGAGAGGAAAAGGACGGAGCCACAACGACAAAGGCAGUGCUUAUUCAUCUGUGUGCAUGUUUGAGCAAGAGGGAGAGAAAGUCUUUUCAUGUUCAAGACUGAUGCCUAGCAGUGGUUCAACACAUUCAGACCACUACAUACGCCCACCUUCAGCACCCAACUCCUCAACCGACCAUAGAACUAACUCUUCACAACCCACCCAAAAGGCAUGGCUCCAUUAGCAGAGUGGGACCAAAGCCAGGUAACCCAUCCAGGAUAUCCCAGGCAAGGAACAGCGUUUUACAGAACAUUCCUGAGGCAAGUCUGAUGCCUCAAUAAAUCUGCCCCAGUCUCUCUCUCUCUCUCCCUUAGCUUGUCUCAGUGGAAUGUCAGCUGGCAAGUGCCCAGACAUUGAGACUUAGCCUUUCAGAACGUGCCAGUCUCACCCAAGCUUCAGAAGUGGGCAAGCACAGAAGCAGCAGUCCCCUUAUCAAAGCGCUUGUCCAGCAGAGCUCAUGGCUCACUGAACCACUGAUCACCAAAUCCUCUGACCUGCCGUUAACCCGCCGGACUCAGAGCGACAGUGACAGAAGAGGCUGUCAUGGUGAAGACCUACAGAGAGACUACUGAGACCUACGGAGAUGAUAUGAUGUUAGAAUGCAUCGUGCAUCAUCAUUUACAUGAGGUUAGAUUUGAACAUGAUGUCCCUACAAUACCACAUGCCACAACAACACAGGAAAAUCAGUUUUGACAAGGUUUUUGGAAUAGUUCACCUAAAAUUCUGUCAGUGUUUAUUUUACACCCUUGUGUCAUAUCAAACCCGUUCUUUUUCCUGUUGUUUCUUUUUGUGUGUGUGACAAACUGCACUAUCAAAAAUUGAGAAAAUACAGUAAAUAUAUUCAAAGGAUAAAAAGCAGCAUGAAAUCAUCAUAAAAGUGAAUUCUACAUUUUUUUUUUUUUUUUUUUUUUAUAAAUCUUCUGAAACAAGGAGGUAACACUUUAGUUUAGGGACCAAUUCUCACUAUUAACUAGUUGCUUAUUAGCAUAUUGGCUAGUAUCCUGCCCGAUACCUAAACUUAACAACCACCUACUAACUAUUAAUAAGCAGCAAAUUAGUAGAUUAUUAAGGCAAAAGUCAUAGUUAAUGGCUUGUUAACAGCGAGAAUUGGACCUUAAAAUAAAGUGUGACCUAAUAUUUUUCAAUUAUAUAAAUAUUUGUGAUUUCUCUCAUUGGCAGGUUAAUGAUAAAUAGUAGCAAUUUGAUUUGUAUAGGAAUCCUUUUUAAAUAAAUUAGUUGAUUUAGUCGAAUCAGUCGAUUCAUUCAUAAAUCAGACUGAUGAAUUUCUGAAGUAAUAUGAACUUUAAUGAUACUUUAACAUGAUUUAGUGUUCUUUUAGGAACUUCUCAGGUCUCAUUCGUUGUAAUUACUGUUAUUGUAAUGGAAACGUGCAGCCAGUAGAUCUUCAAAAUUUCUCCUUUCGUGUUCCACAAAAAAAUCAAAUGCAAAAAAGGUUUGAAAUGUAAUGUCAUUUUGAUUUUUGUGUGAACUUUUCCUUUAAAUCUUGCUUUAAUCUAUUUAUUAUCUAUAGUAUAGCGUGUCCAUCUGCUGAUGCAAUAUUUGUCCUUGGUGGAAUAUCAUGUGCAAUUCCCUCAUGUUUUCUGGUUCGUUUUCAUGCCUAGUUCAUUUUCAUGGUUCAGAUGCUAUUCAUUUCAAAUCCAGCACAACCAAAUCUAAAUUAAGAACUUCAUGUUUAUGCCGUUCAGCUGGCCAUCUUUGAUGCCACAUAAGCCAAGAGGAGCUGCCAGUACUUGGCUUUGUUGGUUUAAUAUUUUAAUGUGUUUAAUUAUGACAGGAUAGGCUCGAUAACCUUCUGUGACGUUCAGGCAAUUGUCAGCAAAUGAAUGAGAUUACAUGACAAGCACUGAAUGACAGCGCAACCCAGCGCUCAGUCUUCCCGCCACUUAUCUGAUGGUAGCCUAGCAACAGAUCCCUGACCUGGCAUUGACCUCCACCUGAUAAGGUCAGCACCUGAAGUGUCUCUCAUUGGUGGGCCCUAUGAAGAGGAGGAGGAGCCUAGAAGAGAGGGAGAGAAAAAGGAAAGAAACAAAGGGAAAUGGAGAGAGGGCAGAAAUCCCAUCAGAGACAAAGCCAUAGCCACACAAAAGCGCCGAGGGCUCGUGUUACAGCGUGUGGAUCAAAAGAGAACUGUAAUCACCAUAGGCUCCACUGAUAGUAUUUCCCAUAUGCAAAACAAGAACUGUCACUGACAUGUAUAGAAGUGUUGGAAAAAAAGAAGUCUAUAAUUCAAACACAGCAUGCUGCAUGUUAGUUUGUUUGAUAGAAUGUCAUGCCGGCGUUAUUUUGCAAAUACUAUUCAUUUUAUGUCAUUUCAGCAGUACGCUCUCUGUAAAGCCAAAGGGAUGCAAGGAUAGCAAAUGCUAAAAUAAUUACCAGUAGAGAGCCUGCGUUCAACUGCUAAAUGUCAAUGUUGUGUGUUUCAUGGGCUGAGAUUGUUCCCUGCUUCUUAAUCAUAGAUGUGGAUCUGCAGCUCAUAGGUUUUCCAGCGUCCAAUAAUGUAUUCAGAAUGUAUAAAAAUAACAAGAUUGAUUGAAACAUUUCUGAAUUGAAAUUGAAGUGAGAACUGAACAUAAAGUGACACUUAAACUAAAAUUCAACAUAAAGUACGAUUAUGGUCUUAUUGUGAACGAUUAAUCAGUGCAUGGUAUUACAGUAUGAAAAAGUCUGUCUUCAUUAUCGUUCAUCAAAAUAACAUGCUCCACCUCUGAAAUGACUUUAUAUUUUGGAUGAGGUCACCUUGCCCUUUUAUAACUCCAACAUCAUUUUCAACUGAAUAUGAAGUUUUCCUCAGAAAUGUGUCACAUUACAAAAGUAAAAUGGGUUGUGAACCAGUGGUGAGUGGUUCAACAUCUAAUGUUACAUCUAAUGUUGUCAAAAAUACAAAACAGAUGUCCAUUUUCCUGCUUUAUUUUCUUCAUAAGUGUCGUGUUACCUAUGUUCCUAAUAUAUUUAGCCACAACACAAUGCAAUAGCUUUGGUGAGCAGCUCAGGUACAGCUUUUCUAGCACAUGAAUUUGUCCACAUACCAACCAACCAAUGAAAUAUUAACGACACGUGUCGACUAUCUAUAGAUCUACUUAUAUUAAAGUUCAUUUUAAUAAGCAAACUCCCACAUUCAUUUUCUUAAAUGGCUUGCCGUUGUGAACACUGUUGGUUUUAAAAACAGGUCUUUGAGAUAUUCCUAUGCACAUACACUAAUUAGCAAAAUAUAACCAUUUAUACAAAAUCAAAGUCAAAUCAUUUAACUAAAUUUAAAACUAGCACCUGACAGAUACACUACAAACAUACACUGUUUGUUGCAUAUAAUCAGUGAUUUUUGGGCUGAGGUAAAAUGUCUUCUUUGUAUGAGGGUCUGGCAACCUGAAAAAUUCUUUCAAGACAAAAGAAGCAUGAAAUGUGGCACAGUAAUCAAAUAAUUAAAGCAAUUAAAGUAUUCAAGGGUCGCACACUCCAAGGUAGAAUAAAUGACUUC